rnacentral:rRNA from 1 species
GAUGAGCGCUGGCGGCGUGCCUAAUACAUGCAAGUCGAGCGAAUGGAUUAAGAGCUUGCUCUUAUGAGGUUAGCGGCGGACGGGUGAGUAACACGCGGGUAACCUGCCCAUAAGACUGGGAUAACUCCGGGAAACCGGGGCUAAUACCGGAUAACAUUUUGAACCGCAUGGUUCGAAAUUGAAAGGCGGCUUCGGCUGUCACUUAUGGAUGGACCCGCGUCGCAUUAGCUAGUUGGUGAGGUAACGGCUCACCAAGGCAACGAUGCGUAGCCGACCUGAGAGGGUGAUCGGCCACACUGGGACUGAGACACGGCCCAGACUCCUACGGGAGGCAGCAGUAGGGAAUCUUCCGCAAUGGACGAAAGUCUGACGGAGCAACGCCGCGUGAGUGAUGAAGGCUUUCGGGUCGUAAAACUCUGUUGUUAGGGAAGAACAAGUGCUAGUUGAAUAAGCUGGCACCUUGACGGUACCUAACCAGAAAGCCACGGCUAACUACGUGCCAGCCGCCGCGGUAA